ensembl:lncRNA
CUCAAAUAUGAAACAUUAAACUUUGACAUGCAGUCAAUACUUGUCAAUACUGUUGCUGUGCAACAGACAUGUUUUUAACAAGAACACACUUUCAAAGAAAAUGACUUCUAGCUUGAAGACAGCGAAGACAGAUCCGUGCUUACCGCCACCUCUGGUGAAAGCUACCGCAUGCCACUGUCCACAGGCAUCCAGUCUUCAGGAUGCUCCUUCUACAGCUUCCACAAAAGCUCUAUCUGCGGAUGGAGGAGUCGCGACGCGAGCUCCAAAAUCCAGCAGAGAGCCGGACCUGGAAGACAGAGCAAGAGAUAGAGCAGCGCUUGUCUCUGGUUCUUCUUCUUGAG